rnacentral:lncRNA from 1 species
UCGGCAUAAACAACUACAAAUACAUCACAAUUCCUACAUAGCGAUUACUAAUUGAGUUAAAAAUACAUAUAUACUUGUAUAUGAUAAUGAAAACAAUGAAAAGGUAAUGUAAUACUUACAAACUUCCACUAUUUUGUUUUGCUAUCUUGGUAACAUAUUCCACUCAGAAUGGAACCUAAAAAAAAUAUCAAAUUAAAAAAAUAACAUUAGAUGCAAUAACUCUACAAUAAUAACACAAAACAACAUGUAGAAAAACUGUAUGAACAUAAUAUUAUAGAUACAAGAUAAUACAAAUACGUAUCUUGGUUGAAAUACAUGUAUCUAUUGAUAUGCUUAAAUCAAUAAAUGUUAAACAAUACGAGAUACAUACUAUUCAUAAACAGUGAAACAGUGAUACGAGAUAAGAGAAAAUGUAUCUAUAAGGUUGUAAACAUGUAUCUAUUGUUGAGUUAAUUUAAAUAAUACUUACAAAACAUUAGAUACAUAUAAAAAAAAAAGGAAUCAAAUAUACAAGAAAUUAAAAAAGCGUAUCACGCAUAUAUAAAUAUGUAUCACGGCCAAUUAUUUUCUAGAUCUGAACAUGCCGGUGGUUCCAGAUAUUUUUCAGAUAUGACUUUGUCGGAGGUUUCAAUUUAUUUUUUGCUACGCGCAGUAAAAUAUUAUUGGAUUAGAAGGUUUACCUGAAAUAUCGAUAACGAAAAAACAGUCGAAAAUAACCUCACCAUGGACAAUUUUCUUUACCGAAAUAGUAGCUUUACCCAUAACUCGAGCACCAAAAAUAUCAUCAUCUUUAAGACGAAACUCCAAACGAUCAAUUGGGUGAGCAAAACGGAUAUGUUGUUGUUUAAUUUAAUUUUUGAGAAAAAACAUUGAACAUAAUAAGAAGAAAGCGAAGAUAAAUUUCGGAGAAAAAAUACCUUAAUUAAAAAUUUUGAAGAAGAAGAAGAGGAGAAAAUUGUGGAAUAAAAUUAUGACCUAAAUUUUGAUGUUAAUGUAGCCAUUCAUGUUGAAAGAUUUGGAUAGAAACUGUUGCUUGAAUUAAGGCAUACAAAGAGGAGAAAAUGAGUUAUUUUUGGUAAAGAAUCGGUUUCUUAGUUGUAGAUUUUAACCUGUAUCUCAACUUUACCAAAAAGUAUGAAAUAUUGAGAUUUAAGUAAUUUUUUAAAAGUGGGGGAAUUUUUAAAAGUUUAGAAACUUAUGUUGUUUAUUUAGGUAAUUUUUUCAUAAUAAUUAUGAUAUAUAAAUGCCACAAUAAUGAAAACUGUUAUUAAUAAAGAAUAACAAAGAAGAAUAGAGAGAGACGAGAGAGUAAUUUUUAUUUCUCAUCUUGAGGGAUGGAUUCAAUAAAGAGAACCCCUCUAUUUAUAAGGGAAAUUACUCUUAAUUUUUCUCUGUCAUAGCCCAUUUUAACACGAGUCAAAUCGAAAUCCAACAUAUUGAAAACUUCUAAUUAAAUUCAAGGAAGUCACCAGCUAAUUAGUUCUACGGUGAAUUAGGACAUCUAUUCUAAACUAAGUGAUUAAAAGGAAAUAAAGACUUCAUUUUAAGGUCUACUUAACUAAGUGAUUCUAGGUAAGGGUUCUAAUUAUCCAAUAGGGAAGGGAUUAGGCACCCUUAAAGAUCCGCUAACUACGGUUAACCGACCAAACUUAGAUUAGAUAAGGAUUAUCAAAUGUUAAAUUAAGAAAGAUAUAAAUAAGGAAUUAGAAUUAUAUACAUCUUAUUAAAAUAAAAUACGCUAAAUAUUUACAAGAAAAAAAAUAGAAAAAACUUUAGAAAGAUUUACCCACUUUUCGAAAGUUAUCAAAGAUAACUCCUAAAAAAUAAUGCAAAGUUAUUAUUGUCAAAAAAUAGUCAUUUAAAAUCAUUUCUCUUAAAAGAUAUACAAAGCUUCUAAUUAAUAAUUUAGACAAAAGUCUAGGCUAAAAAGGGGAAUUAAUUAUGUCAUAUCAAGAAAAUCGCGUUCUUCGUUGUUAAAGAAUAACUUUAAAUUUUAUAAUAUAAAUCAAAAUGACAAAUUAGCAUAUGCUAAGUGAAUCAUUGAGAUAACUAAAAAUUAUUUGAAUCUAUAAUGGCACGAAAAUUUAUUUUUAUUAAGAAAAAGCUCAUGCUUAAAGAAAACAUUUUUUAUCAUUUGAAAUUUUAAGAAAGGGACUUGUGGAAUCAAAUUGAAAAAAAUUACUGCCUUUUAUUUGAAAUCGAUGAGAAAAGGAAGUUUAUUUAUCAUAUCCAAAAUAAUUAAAACCAAUUUUCGAGUCUAGCGAUGCUAAAUUCGCAAAAAAAAAAUAUAUUUUUGUUAAUCCGAUAUUACUAAUUAGUGAAGAACUAACCUAAUUCUAGGGACAGGUUGCUAUUUAGUGUUAAAGAAGUGUUAAAGGAUUCUAACAAACUACGCCAAUAAUUCUAAAAGGUAUGUUUUUUACCAAUCAAAUUUUAGUUUUUUAACGAUAUAAAUUAAAUGUCAAAGCCUAGUGAUUAUGCUAAGUUUAAAAUCUAAAAGGUAGAAAGGAAACAAUUAAAUUUGCUAAAAUAUAAGAAUUCAAACUAAUUCAAAUAAGAACAUAUAAAACACAAAUUUUAAAUAAUAAUAUGUGAAAGGUAAACAAAAGUAAUAAUAAAUGUCUACUAAAGAAGAAUAAGGCUUGAAAAGAGGAAAAAAGGCACUAAAUUGCUAUAUGAAAGCACAUGAUGCAUCUAUUGUCGCUUCUCUUAUUUGGACAGAGAUGGAGUCAACCCACGAGACUCCAAAUGCUCUCCCGAGUUCACAUGAGACAGAAAAAGAUAAGGAUUAGAUACAUACUCGAUCUCAUGAGAGAUGCAAAGUGAAUUAGGUGAUAAAACACAUUAAUGUUUUGCAAUUACGUAGAGAAAAAUAAUCAACAAGGAAAAUAGUAAGUACAUUUAUUCAUAAAUAUUAGGCAUAAGCCAAGUAUUACUCAAAAAAAAAGAAAAAAAGGGAAAAAAAGAACGCUUUAAGCAAGUUGUCUAUAAUUGUUAAUAGUCAUGUGGAGUUUUCAUUUGGGGUUGAUGCUAGGUACACCACCCCAUAUGUUAAAAAAAAUACAAAGCAUUACCGUUCUACCUACCAAAUUCACAAGUAGAGCAUCACAUUAUCAAAAUCAAGCAAAACAAACACCAUUUCUGUUCGUGGGAAAGCUGCUAGCAAAGUUGACCCAAAAAAGGGAAGGAUUUUGCACAUUGUAACUUCAAAUUAUUUUUACUAGAACUCCAUCUUGAAGAUGACAAACUCUAGCUGAAGUAAAAAGUUUAACAUUUCAGUCCAUGGCAAAAAGGACUUAACUUUAAAAUUGAUCAAAUGAGACGCCAAUAUGGAAAGAAGGGCUUAGAUAAACUAAUAUGAUGCAAAUAAUAGCAGAAAAUUACAAAUCCAAAUUAGGACAAAUUUCUAAUUCUAAUGCUCAUUAUUUACCCUCAAUAACAAAUAACAACAAGAAGACAAUUCAAAUCAUAUAAACCUCAUAUCACAGGAAAUAACACAAAAACGGAGGAGCAAAAAUUUCACAAGAAACAAAAGAAUAUAGAGAUUAAGAACCGAUUUAAUGAUACAAUAACAAAAGAUACAAAACAGAUGGCACGCUCCAAACAAGAAUAUAAAAGAUUUGGUUAAAUGUUUCCCUCACACAUAAGAAUUUUUAACUAUUUUAAUGUACUUAUAUUACACAUCUGGGCAACUUACCGAAAUCAAUUACCGUAAUAAGACAUCACUGGCAUGAAAAACAUUCAAAAGUGAUAUAAAUGCUCAAGUUCAAACACACCUAUUCUUAUAGAAAAUGGGUAACCGAAGAAUAUAUUCUUGAAAUCAAAAUUUUGUUUCAUGUAUGACACUAUACUGUCCCUUCUUUAAUGAAUACUUAACACAAAAUUAAAACUAAUAUUUGCCUAUUAGGCUAAAAAAAAAGUCCGUGACAGACAUAGAAGGCAUGUGAAUUUCAAAUAUUUUACAAUAACUAGUUUCUAUUUUAAAAAAAAAAAUCCUCUAAUAUAAUUAUAGAUGGAACUGGCACAUUUGUUCAAAAUCACACGAAAUAAAUAAUUUGCGAGUUUGAAGCAAAGAGCCAAUCAGAAUCUGCUUUUUCGUUAAACUUUCACAUGUUAUUUGUCACAUAUGUCACCAAUUUUUACAAAUAACAGCUGCACACAGUAACUUACAAGGCGAGAUGAAACAGUAAUGAACAAGAAAAGGCGGGAUGAUUCACGCAUAAUCUUAGGACUAGAAUAACUCGGGUAUUCACAAAAUCAUACCAGACGAAGGAGAAAGAGGUGCAAGCACAUCAUUUCUACUUAGAACUAUUUUACCAGAAGCAUGGAAUUGAAGCCUUUUUAUAUGAAAAAUGGUGGUAAAUACUACUGUUAAGAGGAAAAAAAAAAAACAUCCAUUGAAUUUUCUUUAGAUCUUAGUACAUUUGAAUGGUUAUCAUGCCCAAUAUAUAUGCUUUAAAAGCUAAGGCAGUAGAUAAUUCAAACCGAAUUUAUUUUAUCAAGAGCGACACUGACUUUCAAAAAUAAACACACAACUACAACCAUUUGAAUACAAGAGCACUCCACAUAUGACUAGAUAUUAUGCAACCUCUCUUCAUACCAUAGACAGUAAUAAAAUCGCUUCAGACGACAUAAAUAAGUGCAAGCAGAUAACUAACAAACAUGGAUGGAAAAACAUAGACUUUCAUAAUCAUCUGGUAAAGUAACUCCUUAGUUCUGCAACCAUUCGAGGCAAGAAACGAGUCUAAAAAGUAAAAAAAUGUCCAGAUAGAAACGAAAUCAUAUUUGAAUUAUUUAAAUGAUUUUAUAUGUAUGAACACGUCAUGAAUGCCAAAAAAUAAUAUAUGAGCUAUUUUAGGAAUCUAAGAAAAAAAGGAAGAAAGACUCGACCAAUGUAGGUUUGCGAACAUAACAAAACCUCAAUUCGAUCAUAUCAAGUAAGCAAAGAGAGAGAUCAAAAUAACUAAUUCAGGCCAACUAUAGUAAUACAACUUCUAUGCUCUUGAACUACAUCGCAUUCAGACAGUCAAAUCGAACUUCAUUUUUCCUUUUGUAUCAAACUUGGGAUUCUAUACUAACUCUAACAAACAAGACAGAGAGAGACAAACCCUUGAAAAACUUAGCUUUGUUUCACGUGAAGCAGAAAUCUAAGCAAAAAUAAUACCAUGGAGAAUUCUUAACAAGUCACCUUCUGCAUUUUAUGUAAAAAGUGCUAAUAUAAAUCACAAGGUUGAUUAUAUAUACCUUAUAGAAACUUAACAGAAUAAUAUACGGACCACCUAACAGGAAAUCAUAACUGGAAACACGUGGGAAAACAAAAAGAAGUAUGAACCAAAAAGAUACAAAACAUACAAUAUAAACUAAAAUGAACGAGGGCUAGUUUUGUCUCAUGCUUUAUGCCCAAAAUCGACUAGUUAACAUUCCAACUAGAACACGAUAAACGAUUUUGUUCCAAGUUUGCAUUCAUAACCAGCCAACAAAACGAUCAACUCCAAUUCAUUUCAUAUUUAUGUUCACAAUUAGCCAAACGAGAAAAACAAACACAAACAAUCAGAAAAUUAUCAAAAACCAAACGCAAUGUAAUUAGACAGGAUAGGAUUUACUGUUACAGGUGUUCACGAAACCACCUCCGACAUAUCAAAACCUAAGAAAAUAAAAGAAAUUCGAAAAUAGGAACGACAAACAGUUAUACGCACAUGUCCACAGAACCACAUAUUCACAUACAAAAUAACUUUUGAAAUUAAAAUUAUAUUUUUGUCCACAAGACCAAAAACAACAACAACAACAACAAAAACUCGAAAUCAAGGUGUCCCAUUGAUAGGUGGUCUACGGCUGACCCUCUGGCCAAAGAAAUUUAGAAAAGAGAUGAAGAAGAAGUAACAAGAGAGAUUGGGGCAAUUUUCUCCUCCCUUUCUGAAAGCUAACAUUACAAUUUAAAGGAAAAAUGUAAACUACUUCUAAUAAAAUAACUGCAAAUGAAACGUGGCCUAAUAACCGUAAAUGGAAACGUGGGCAUCCCCAUUAUCUCCUUUAUUUCCGCACAACUACUUCUAAGACUAUUUCAAAGAAAGAGCACAACUACUUCUAAGACUAUUUUAAAGAAAGAAAUCCACCACCCAUUAGUUAGCAUCAUAACAAUCCACCCCACUUGAAAUCACCUUGUCCUCAAGGUGAAACUGAGGGUAAGUACGGGAAAAACGCCAUUUAUCUUCCCAUGUUGCAUCUUCCCUUGAUUGACCAACCCAUUUAACCAAAAUCUCUGUUUUUGGCCUAUAUUUCCCUUUCUGAACGACUCGUUCUUCCAAGAUACCCUCUGGUUGAGGUGCCACCUGUAACUGGACAGGUUCGUUGACAGGAGGUGGGAUCGGUUCCGGGACAGGGCCUUCUCUUUUCCGUAACAAACUCACAUGAAACACAUCGUGAAUUAAGGAACCAGGAGGUAAUUCAAUCCGAUAUGCAACCUUUCCUACCUUAGCAAGAAUUUUGUAAGGGCCAAAAAAACGCGGACUUAACUUAGCUGAUGUUCGGGAGACCACACUUGACUGUCUAUAUGGCUGUAGUUUAACAUAAACAUGAUCCCCUACCUCAAAUUCCAAUUCACGACGGCGUUGGUCCGCAAAAUGCUUCAUACGGUCUUGAGCUUUGAAGAGGUUGGCUCGUAAGGUUUUCAGCAUCCGAUCACGGUCUUGAAGGUAGUCUUCGACAGCUUGAACCUUAGUCGUUCCUGGAACAUACGGCAAGAUUUUUGGAGGCAGCCGUCCAUAAACAACCUGAAAAGGAAUCAGCUUGGUGGAAGUGUGAACUGAAGUAUUAUAGCUAUAUUCCGCCCACGGUAGCCAAUCCACCCAUUUUUUUGGCUUGUCACAAACAAAACAACGCAAGUAUUGUUCCAGAAUCCGAUUGACAACUUCUGUUUGUCCAUCCGUCUGCGGAUGAUAGCUAGAACUCAUGCAUAAAACCGACCCUUGCAGCUUGAAUAGAGCUUGCCAAAAGGAACUUAUGAAAAUUUUAUCACGAUCACUUACAAUGGUUGAAGGGAUACCAUGCAAGCGGACAACGUUGGCUACAAAAUCCCGAGCUACACUUGAAGCAGUAAAUGGGUGCCGCAUAGGAACAAAGUGGGCAUAUUUUGAGAGUCGAUCUACAAUCACCAUUAUCACUGUAAACCCGUUAGACGCAGGUAAUCCUUCCACGAAAUCCAUGCUAAUGUCCUCCCAAAUUCUGUCUGGAACCGGAAGUGGCUGCAACAACCCAGCAGGCUGCAUGGUGUCCGUCUUGGCUCGUUGACACUCAUGACAUUCCCGGAUAUAUCUUUUCACAAAAUCUUUCAUACCCAACCACCAAAAAUUGUGCUUCACCUUAGCAAGAGUUUUAUGAAAACCAAAAUGGCCUCCUUCGGGAGAGGAGUGACACAUAACCAGCACAGUGGAUAGAAGAGGAGAAUUGGAGCUUAACAAUAUAGCAUCAUUUCUAAACCAAACUCCAUCAUGCUUCACAAGGUUACCUUUAAAUUUAAUAGGCAAGGAUGAAGGUAAAUUCAAAUAAAAAGGGUCUGUGUGUACCUCUUCUUGAAUGGUGGUCCAAAUGGUGGAACAAGGAUGUGAAACAUUUAGAUAAUGAAACUCGGGCGUACGAGAGAGGGCAUCUGCGCCUUGGUUCAAACUUCCCUUCUUAUAUUCAAUUUUGUAGUCAAAUCCCAAAAGCUUGGGUAGCCAUCGGGACUGAACUGGGGUAGUGAUUCGUUGCUCCAUUAAAUACUUGAGACUGACAUGGUCUGUUUUCACCACAAAAGGUCGCCCCAGUAAAUAGUGUCGCCAUUUCCGAACUGCCUUUACAAUAGCUAACAUCUCCUUCUCAUAUGUAGACCAAGAUAACAUGAUUCCCUUUAAAGGAGCACUGAAAUAAGCCAAGGGUCUUCCACGUUGAGUGAGAAUAGCUCCUAUACCCACCCCACUCGCAUCACACUCCACAGUAAAUGGGUGAGACCAAUCGGGCAAAGCCAAAGUAGGAGGGGUUGUCAGGGCAAUCUUCAACUCCUGGAAAGCCACUUCUGCCUUUUCAUUCCAAAUAAAAGGGCCUUUGCCAACUAGUUUAUGCAAGGGGGCAGCAAUACUUCCAAAUCCCUUGAUAAACUUUCGAUAAUAACCCGCCAACCCCAAGAAACCGCGUACCCCUUUUGCGUUAGUUGGAGUAGGCCAUGAAAGUACAGCCUUAACUUUAUUUUCUUCAACCGCCACACCUCCCGAUGAUAUGACAUGCCCCAAAUAAUUAACUUGAGAAACUCCAAAACAACAUUUUGAGAGCUUGGCAAAAAGUUGAUUAGUAUUUAAUAAUCCCAAAGCAGUACGUAAAUGCCCAAGAUGAUCAUUCAAGGUCUUUGAAUAAAUAAGAAUAUCAUCAAAGAAUACCAAUAUAAACUUACGCAGGUAUGGCCUGAAAAUGUCAUUCAUUAAGCAUUGAAAGGUGGCUGGAGCAUUGGUGAGGCCAAAAGGCAUAACAACGAACUCAUAAUGUCCGUCAUGCGUUCGGAAUGCUGUCUUUGGAAUAUCAGUUUCCCGAACCCGUAUUUGGUGAUAACCAGCACGAAGGUCAAGCUUAGAAAAGAUCGUAGCACCAUAUAGUUCAUCGAGUAGCUCGUCUAUUACUGGAAUUGGGUACUUGUCCUUCACAGUGAUGUCAUUGAGAGCCCUAUAGUCCACGCAAAAACGCCAAGUGCUGUCAGAUUUCUUCACUAACAAGACCGGCGAUGAGAACGGGCUAUGGCUGGGGCGAAUUAACCCAUCACGCAGUAACCCCCUAACUUGUUUUUCAAUUUCCGUCUUUUGCAAAUAAGGUUGGCGAUAUGGCCGAGAGCUCACUGGUUUGGCUCCGGGAAUUAAGGGUAUGUCAUGGUCAUGGAAACGCCUUGGGGGCAAUUCUUUUGGCUCUUGAAAGACCUGCUCAUAUUCAGUUAAAACAUGUUGAACGGCUGGACAAGGACUUGAGGUAGAAGAAAGCUCCGAUUCGACCCGAUUAACCUGGAGAAGUAAGGCAAUACCCUGUAUUCCCAUCAACUCGUUAGCCUUUAAAGCAGUCAAAUCCGACCCCCGCAACCCUUGUAACUUAUGUGUUGAACCAGCCUGAUGGAAUCCAAGAGUGAGAUUCUGGAAGUCGAUUUCAAUAGGCCCCAAAGUCUUCAACCACUGAACGCCUAAGACAAUAGGACAAGCUGCGAUUGGCAGAACAAAAAAAUCGGUGGUUAUAGUGUAACCUUGAAUAAUGAUUGUAAGUCCGCGCACUCGUCCCACACAAGCUAACUUGUCACGGUUUGCGACGACCACUUCCAAUUUGACCCCAUUAUCCACCGUCAAUCCGAACCGCUCCACUAACGAUUGCUCGAUGAAAUUGUGGGUACUACCACCAUCAAUUAAGACCACCAAAUCUUUGUUAUGAAUUUUUCCAGGCAACCUUAAGGUUUGGGGAAGGAUGGUGCCGGUAAUUGCGUGGAAAGAAAUCUCAGCGGAAACCUCAUCAGGAGGGUUCUCAUUGGCUUCAUCCUCAUGGCUGCUGCUCUCUUCAACGUCAUCGACUUCACUGAUCAUGAAUAAUUGGGGCUUGGUGCACUUAUGACCCGGAAUGUAGCGUUCAUCACAGUAGUAACACAACCCCUUUUCCCGACGUUCUUUAGCCUCUGCUCCUGAUAAACGGCGAACUGGACUUGGGGCAGGUAAAGCUAGGCGUUGAGAUGGUGCUGGGCCUAAAAUUCCAGCAGAGUGUGGGCGUAAAAAGUGCUAAUAUAAAUCACAAGGUUGAUUAUAUAUACCUUAUAGAAACUUAACAGAAUAAUAUACGGACCACCUAACAGGAAAUCAUAACUGGAAACACGUGGGAAAACAAAAAGAAGUAUGAACCAAAAAGAUACAAAACAUACAAUAUAAACUAAAAUGAACGAGGGCUAGUUUUGUCUCAUGCUUUAUGCCCAAAAUCGACUAGUUAACAUUCCAACUAGAACACGAUAAACGAUUUUGUUCCAAGUUUGCAUUCAUAACCAGCCAACAAAACGAUCAACUCCAAUUCAUUUCAUAUUUAUGUUCACAAUUAGCCAAACGAGAAAAACAAACACAAACAAUCAGAAAAUUAUCAAAAACCAAACGCAAUGUAAUUAGACAGGAUAGGAUUUACUGUUACAGGUGUUCACGAAACCACCUCCGACAUAUCAAAACCUAAGAAAAUAAAAGAAAUUCGAAAAUAGGAACGACAAACAGUUAUACGCACAUGUCCACAGAACCACAUAUUCACAUACAAAAUAACUUUUGAAAUUAAAAUUAUAUUUUUGUCCACAAGACCAAAAACAACAACAACAACAACAAAAACUCGAAAUCAAGGUGUCCCAUUGAUAGGUGGUCUACGGCUGACCCUCUGGCCAAAGAAAUUUAGAAAAGAGAUGAAGAAGAAGUAACAAGAGAGAUUGGGGCAAUUUUCUCCUCCCUUUCUGAAAGCUAACAUUACAAUUUAAAGGAAAAAUGUAAACUACUUCUAAUAAAAUAACUGCAAAUGAAACGUGGCCUAAUAACCGUAAAUGGAAACGUGGACGUGGGCAUUAUCUCCUUUAUUUCCGCACAACUACUUCUAAGACUAUUUCAAAGAAAGAGCACAACUACUUCUAAGACUAUUUUAAAGAAAGAAAUCCACCACCCAUUAGUUAGCAUCAUAACACCCAUGUUCGUAGAAUCAAAAUAGAUGAAGGAAAAGGAAAAUAAAACGAAAGGGGAUGCUAAUUUGAUCACUUCUUUAUAGAGAUUCCUGCUUGAAAAAAAAAAUGAGAGCUCAAAGGCCCAUUUUAUAGACAAAUUUUAGGGGUUGUAACGGUUCUUAAGCCCCAAAAAUUCAAAUUUGAAUCCUUGAAAAACUAAAAUUGCAAAAGAUGAUGAUGGAAUCCAAAAAUAAAAGGCUGAAUUUUACCCUUUUUAAGUUGAUGUGAAUGGGAAAGGAGACUGUUAGAGGUUAUAAGGCUUGAGCCCAUCGGUUUAAAGGUAAUAAUGACCUCAAAAUCUGGAGGUCCUUGAAUUCUCCCCACUUCUCAGAAAUGGCAGAGCUUUGGAUUUUGUUCUACUUCAACAAGAAGUGACAAAAGGGAGGUGAUAGUGAUGAAAAACGUGGGUGACAAAGAGGGCAGACAAGGGGAAAGGUGAAGACCACCGAAUUUUGCAAUUAUCCAGUGGUCUGAGCACUAGUCGGCAUUUACAGAGAGGUGGAAGAGGUAGUCCUAUCGGUCUGGCUCUAACGCUGAAAUGGAAAGAGAGUGAGGGAUUAGGAUUGUGGUUUAAUCAAGGUAAAUGGGCCAGGUUUGUGGAUAAUUGGGCUGAAAUGUGGG